UUAAUACUCCCUCCGUCCAGAAAUACUUGUCACAGAAAUGGAUAUAAAUGGAUGUAUCUAAAACUAAAAUACAUCUAGAUACAUCCAUUCCUCUGACAAGUAUUUCCGGACGGAGGGAGUACACU
rnacentral:pre_miRNA from 1 species